rnacentral:rRNA from 1 species
UUGCCAGACUCCUACGGGAGGCAGCAGUGGGGAAUAUUGCACAAUGGGGGAAACCCUGAUGCAGCGACGCCGCGUGAGUGAGGAAGUAUUUCGGUAUGUAAAGCUCUAUCAGCAGGGAAGAAAAUGACGGUACCUGACUAAGAAGCCCCGGCUAACUACGUGCCAGCAGCCGCGGUAAUACGUAGGGGGCAAGCGUUAUCCGGAUUUACUGGGCGUAAAGGGAGCGUAGACGGAUAAGCAAGUCUGAUGUGAAAAUCCGGGGCCCAACCCCGGAAUUGCAUUGGAAACUGCAUAUCUAGAGUGUCGGAGAGGCAAGUGGAAUUCCUGGUGUAGCGGUGAAAUGCGUAGAUAUUAGGAGGAACACCAGUGGCGAAGGCGGCCUGCUGGGCUUUUACUGACGCUGAGGCUCAAAAGUGUGGGGAGCAAACAGGAUUAGAUACCCCCGUA